rnacentral:rRNA from 1 species
GUGCAGCAGUCGCGAAACUUUACAAUGUGCGAAAGCACGAUAAGGGAACUCUGAGUGCCUCCUAAGGAGGCUGUUCAGGUGUCUAAAAGCACCUGAAGGAAGGGCUGGGUAAGACCGGUGCCAGCCGCCGCGGUAACACCGGCAGCCCAAGUGGUAGCCACGUUUAUUGGGUCUAAAGCGUCCGUAGCCGGCUGGGUAAGUUCCUUGGGAAAUUUGGCUGCUUAACAGUCAAGCUUUCAGGGAAUACUGCCCGGCUUGGGACCGGGAGAGGUCAGAGGUACUCCAGGGGUAGGGGUGAAAUCCAUUAAUCCUUGGGGGACCACCGGUAGCGAAGGCGUCUGACCAGACCGGGUCCGACGGUGAGGGACGAAGGCUAGGGGCGCGAACCGGAUUAGGAUACCCGUGUAGU